rnacentral:rRNA from 1 species
AUUGAACGCUGGCGGCAGGCCUAACACAUGCAAGUCGAACGAGUGGCGGACGGGUGAGUAAUGUCUGGGAAACUGCCUGCUGGAGGGGGAUAACUACUGGAAACGGUAGCUAAUACCGCAUACCAUCAGAUGUGCCCAGAUGGGAUUCGCUAGUUGGUGGGGUAACGGCUCACCAAGGCGACGAUCCCUAGAUGGUCUGAGAGGAUGACCAGACAAACUGUAAAGGUGACACGGUCCAGUAUCCUACUGUAGGCAGCAUUGGGGAAUAUUGCACAAUGGGGGCAAGCCUGAUGCAGCCAUUCCGCGUGUAGGAAGAAGGCCUUCGGGUUGUAAAGGACUUUCAUCGGGGAGGCGUUACCCGCAGAAGAAGCACCGGCUAACUCCGUGCCAGCAGCCGCGGUAAUAC